rnacentral:rRNA from 1 species
AGGACGAACGCUGGCGGCGUGCUUAACACAUGCAAGUCGAGCGGAAAGGCCCUUCGGGGUACUCGAGCGGCGAACGGGUGAGUAAUACGUGAGCAACCUGCCCUUAGCUCUGGGAUAGCUCCGGGAAACCGGAAUUAAUACCGGAUAUGACCUAGGCCGACAUCGGCCGUGGUGGAAAGUUUUUCGGCUAGGGAUGGACUCGCGGCCUAUCAGCUAGUUGGUGGGGUAAUGGCUUACCAAGGCGACGACGGGUAGCCGGCCUGAGAGGGCGACCGGCCACACUGGGACUGAGACACGGCCCAGACUCCUACGGGAGGCAGCAGUGGGGAAUCUUGCGCAAUGGGCGAAAGCCUGACGCAGCGACGCCGCGUGGGGGAUGGAAGGCCUUCGGGUUGUAAACCCCUUUCAGCAGGGACGAAGCGAAAGUGACGGUACCUGCAGAAGAAGCGCCGGCUAACUACGCGCCAGCAGCCGC